rnacentral:ncRNA from 2 species
AAGGGUGAACGGGGCGUCUAAACAUUAUCAUCACGACGGUGGAAACAUUACCACCAAACGUCUGGGGUCGUUGUCCAAUGAGCGCCCAGAUCGUUACCGUAGAU